rnacentral:rRNA from 1 species
GCGGAGGAAAAGAAACCAACAGGGAUUGCCUCAGUAGCGGCGAGUGAAGCGGCAAAAGCUCAAAUUUGAAAUCUGGCGUCUUUGGCGUCCGAGUUGUAAUUUGAAGAAGGUAUCUUUGGGCCCGGCUCUUGUCUAUGUUCCUUGGAACAGGACGUCACAGAGGGUGAGAAUCCCGUGCGAUGAGAUGACCCGGGUCUGUGUAAAGUUCCUUCGACGAGUCGAGUUGUUUGGGAAUGCAGCUCUAAGUGGGUGGUAAAUUCCAUCUAAAGCUAAAUAUUGGCGAGAGACCGAUAGCGAACAAGUACAGUGAUGGAAAGAUGAAAAGAACUUUGAAAAGAGAGUGAAAAAGUACGUGAAAUUGUUGAAAGGGAAGGGCUUGAGAUCAGACUUGGUAUUUUGCAUGCUGCUCUCUCGGGGGCGGCCGCUGCGGUUUACCGGGCCAGCAUCGGUUUGGAGCGGCAGGAUAAUGGCGGAGGAAUGUGGCACGGCUUCUGCUGUGUGUUAUAGCCUCUGACGAUACUGCCAGCCUAGACCGAGGACUGC